UUGGGAAUAGCCAGGAUAGCUUAGUUGGUAGAGCAGAGGACUAAAAAUUCUCGUGUCACCAGUUCAAAUCUAGUUCCUGGCACAUGAUUAAUUUGUAUAGGUCUCUCUUCACUACAAUUAAUUUCUAAUUAAUUGAUAUGAAUCAACAUACAUAUUCUUUUAGAGUCUAGAUUAGAAUAAUAGCUUUAUCCAGUUUGGCGAGAUAUACCCCAUACUAUGUUCGAUAUGGGUAGAGUUUCUUAGAUAAAGUAUCGAAAAGAAUUGGAUUCCAUCUCCUCUUUUUUUCUAUCUCGUUCAAAUGAAUUUGAAUAUGUAAUACAUAUUCGAAAGGUAUAAUAGGUUAAUUAUUGAAAGGAUCAAAAGUCGAAUCCAGGGAGGUUGAAAUAGACAAGAUUCAGCUCAGAUCCAAAGAAAUAGAAUUCGAUAUUCUAUCAUUUCUUUGUCUUUUCUUUCAUAUUCGAUUUCUUCAUUCUGGAUUUCUCCAUCCCUUCCUAUAUGCCCUUCUAGAACCCGUCUAAGUAAUGCGCGCAGUACAAAGUUCAUGAUGCAGAACUCAUUUGGUUCAUCCUAUUGGUAUGACUCAUCCGAAAUAAGUAUCUUCCAAAUAAAUGUGAGAAUUACAAUGAAUCCCUAAUUGUCUUUUUUUGUUAGCCUAUUGACAAUUCCCUAAAUUAGACCUGCUUAAUCUAGAACAGAACGUGCAAUCCUUGAAUAUCUUAAAUUGUCUAAGUGGAAAUAGCUUUCUCAUCAUUCAAUGAGCAUCUUGUAUUUCAUAAAAAUUAGGGGCAAUAUAAUCCUUACAUAAGGGCUAUUCUAUCCAACUUUCAGGCAUUAAGAUACGUUUCAAGCGUGGAUGAUUAUCAUAAGAGAUUCCCAACAUAUCAUAUGAUUCUCGUUCUUUAAAAUCCACAUUUUUCCAAACCCAAAAAACAGACAGAAUUCUAGGAUUCCUCCUGGAGGCAAAGACUUUUACGCAUACCUCUUCUGGUUGAUCCACACCAUCCUCUAUUCUCGUAAGAUGAUACACAGUAGCUAACAGCCCGCCAGGCACUGCAUCAUAGGCACAUUGAGAGCGGAGAUAAUUGUACCCAUAUACAUAAAAAAAUGAUAGCAAUGGAAUGACAAUCCUCGGGUUUUAUUUGUAAAGUCUCUAUACCUCGGUAAUCAAAGCCCAAAAAUCUAUGAAUUAGCCCAUGCUUGACUAGCCAAGAAGACAAACGACCUUGCAUCUUUUUUAUCUCUCCCACUUUUUUAUUUAUAUAAUUAUUUCACAUUUACGAUUAAAUUUAUGAAAAUUGACCCACCACUUCUGAUUCUGGACAAAGGAAUCCUGUAUAAUUCACUAAUUCGUAGGAAGAUACUGAAUUUUUGUAUUUGGAAAAGAUUUUCGUAGGGACCUCUGAAGUAGAUGGUGGUUAAUAAAGAACUCUUUGAUCAUAAUUUCCCAUAUGAAUACUGCGUCAAACAUGAAACUUGUGAUUGGUAGUAAAAUACCGAUUCACUCGUUGAGACCUAAUUCGAUCUUCAUAGAGUUCUUGAGAUAUUUUCUUACGAAGUUUUGUUAUAGCAUCUAUAAUUGCUUUCGAUUUAGGUGGGCAACCUGGCAAAUAUACAUCUAUAGGAAUUAGCUUAUUGACUCCCCGAACAGUACUAUAAGAAUCGAUUCUGAACAUCCCACCUAUAAUUGUACAGGCUCCUAUAGCAAUAACAUAUUUUGGUUCAGGCAUUUGCUCAUAUAAUCUCACUAAAGAGCAGGCCAUUUUCAUUGUUACUGUUCCAGCCAUUAAAAUUAGAUCCGCUUGUCUAGGACUCGAUCUUGGUACUAGUCCAUAACGAUCAAAGUCGAAGCGUGAGCCUAUUAGUGAAGCAAAUUCAAUGAAGCAACAACUGGUACAAUAGAGAAGCGGCCAUAAACUAGAGUCUUGACCAAUUUUAAAGACCAUUAAUGUAGUUGAAAUAACUGAAUUUGGGGCUGUUCGAUCAAGUAAAGGAAACUGAAUAGAAUUCAUAACUGUCUCAAUCUUAUUUUUUCCGUUUUUCUUUUUAUUGCCUGAAUAUUCAGGAGCUAGACCAUUCCAAUGCCCCCUUUUGCCAUGCAUAAACUAAACCAAUAAUUAAGAUAAUCACGAAAAUCAAAGCUUCUAUAAAUACAGAUAUACCCAAUACGUCGAAACUCAUUGCCCAUGGAUACAGGAAAACCGUUUCAUCAUCAAAAACAACAAAAACUAGAGCAAACAUAUAAUAACAGAUUCAAAAUUAUAACCAAGCAUCACCCAUUGGUUCUAUACCCGACUCACAAGUAGAAAGUUUCUCCGUCCCUUUGCUAAUCGGGGCUAACACUUCGGAAAUGAAAAAUGCCAAAAUAGGAACAAGGAUGGAUAUUAUUAAAAAUGCCUAAAAAAAUUAUAUUCGUAAAGGAGAAACAUAAACGCACUCCUAUGAACGUGGAAAAUAUACCGGAUUGGAUUGUUUGAUUCGAAUUGUAAUUGUCAAGCCAUCCAUGACUAUUUAGUCAAAACAAGAAUUUAUUUUGGUCGAACCGCCUAGUUUGGCUUUGUUUAUUGGUUUAUUAUAGGGCAUAUCUCAUUGCAAGAUUCAUCGAAUGGAAUCCGAUUUUAUUUCCAUUAUACUUAUUUCCAUUUUAUUUAGUUAGUAGAACCUUCUAACUAUAUAUUACUCUGAUACAAAUUCUCCUCUUUCUCUUGUUUUUUUCUCUAAACUAAAGAUGGGGAAUUCUAAAUUAAUUAAUUAUCUUAGUUCUUCUUUAAUUUUUCUUCUUUAAUUAGAAAUUCUUUAAAUAUUUCUAUUUUUUUCUAUAAAUAGAAUAAAUAGAAUCAGGAGGUCUUUAUUUUAAUUUUUUUUCUUAGUGAUUUAGUGAUCUAGAAUGGAACAAGUAAUCAAAUAGAAGAGAAUGUAUAGGAACUUCCAUCUCAAGAUUUAGAAGAUCUUGUGUUGGUAUAUUCCUUUUAUUAUUUUAUUAUUAUUUAAUAAUAGUAUUAGGAUUCGAAUCCAGUUGGAGGGGUUUUUCUUGGUUGGUAGUUGAUACCAGGUUUAUAAUGAGAAUUCAAGCUUGAAACUGAAUACCAAGUUUUAACUAAAAUUUGAACAUGAAAAUGAAUAAGCUUUAAGUAUUGAUAUUACCUUGGGCUGAGUAUGAGUUUGUGGAGAAGAGGUGAGGGUACUUGGUUUGUAUGUGUAAUACCCCGAGAAUCCCAAUCGAUGGUAGAACCAUGAUUCAAGCUUAUGAGAAAUAAAUUAUAGUGAUUUGGUAUUAUUAUGAUCAAUUUUGAUGUAUAUUAAUACUUUAAAUACAUCCUAGCUAUUGGACGAAUCAAAACAUUCCUUACCAAUUGAAUUCUUGAGAAGGGCAUUGCCAUAGUUAACUUCAAAUGAGAAUAUAUCCCAUUAUAUAGAUAAUUUUUGAUCUCAUCACCCACCAAUAGAUAUAUAAUUGAAUUAUCUUUCUAACUAUACCAAUUUUGCAAAAAUCCGGCAUUGGAGUAAAAAGUUAUGGUCAUUUUACUAAGAGCUUCUCGAGCUGUCUAGGAGUGACGGACAAAAUGACUGACCGUUAAGCCAGCGACGGACCAUCACUUUGUUCGUCACAACUGAACUGGUGAGGCUUUUUUAUGGACCAAAAAUGAUGAUUGGAGUGAUGGUUAGUCACCAGAGUGAUGGUCCGUCACUCAGACCGUCAGUUUUGCCUGAAACAGCGCUAAAACAUCGUUUUAAAGAGGUUUUUGGGUCUUUUUCCAUCCUAUUUAACACCCAAUCACCUCAAAUCAAAGAACAUAACUUCUCAUUCAUCCAUAAUAUCAAAAUUAAGGUUUAUUUUAAGAUCAAAAUCCAAGAACAAGAUUCAAACCCUUCUUCAAGAAUCUAAGAUAUUCAAGUUCUUCAAACUCAAGAACAACUUAUUUUUUCUCAAAGGGACAAGAACCCUAUAUAAAAAAUCAAGAAAAAAGUUAUAUUUCUUUCAAGAUCAAACUUCAAGAUUUGUGUUUUAUUAUUCUAUGAUUUAUCUCAAGCUCCAAGAAAACUAGUUGAUUGGCGAUUCAAUUUCAAGAAAGUUCCACCGUUAAUCUUCAAGAAUCUUCCAUCUAAGGUAUGCAUAGUGUUCAUCCAUGGAUUCAUUUCAUCCAUGGAGCUCAAGAAUCAAGUUUUAAAUCAUGUAUUAUGAUUAUUUGUUGCGGGUUAAUUGUAACCAUGAGGUUGUUGUUGUAUGAUUCCCAAGUUGGAAUCUUUAUGUGAUUUUAUGAGAACAUGUUAGCAUAUAAGUUGAAAUCCAUAAAUUUUAUGGUUUAAGAUUGUUGAAUUGAUGAUUAUACCUAUGAUAGUGCAUGUAAGAUAUUUGAUAAAAUGCCUAAGAAAUUAGAAAUCAUGUAAUAUAGCUAAAUUAUGACUAAGUGAAGGAUUCAUGAUCUGCCCCUAUGUUCCAAUGACUUCCAUGUUGGUAAUGUGUCUUGUAAAUGCUGUUGGACUGCUCAUGAACUAGUCUUAUGAGAUUAUUCCAUCUUACUUGCAAAUCCUACUUAUGUACAAGAUGUGUGAUAACCAUGUACUCUAUGAAAUCCCCCAAGUUAUGAUAUUAUGGAUUGUUAAUAUUGGUCAUGUAUUCAAGAAAAUCAUGUUAUUAGUUUCCUUCCAUCGAGUCCUGGGGGCACUUGUACCUAAAAAAUAUAGCUGUGUGCCUAGAUCCAUGUCAUAUUAUCAUGUACUCUCAGUAAAGCCAUGAUCUAUAGAAAUCAGUCAGUCAUGUGACUCAGGAAAAUUCAGUAAUCUCAGUAAUCUCAGUGCUCAGUAACCUCAGCAACCUCAGUAUUCACAGUCAAUCUCAGCAACUUUAGUACUCUUAGUCAGUCCUCAGAACUCAGUACAUUCCAUCAAUUAAAGGAACUCAGUAAACUCAGUUUAGCUCCGCUAAACAAUACCACUAGUUUUAGUUCAGUUUUCUUAGUCCAGUCCAGUUCAGCUAAUCAGUUCAGUUUAGCCAAUCAGUUCAUCUCAAUUAUUCAAUUCAGUGUCUUUUAGAUAGUAGUAGGAUUCAGCACUCAGCGAACCCAAGGAUGGGAACUCACCAGUCAGAUUAGGGUGUGAUUCUUAGCAGUCAUCCUUGUGUUCCAAAACUACGUAGCCAGCAUAGGUUGAGACAUCUUAGCCUAUCAAAUUAAGGUUGAUGAGGUGGCUUAACCUGUCAGAUUAUGGUCUCACCUUUCUUAUUAGAGUAACCUGCCAGAUAAGUAUCACUCACAGAUUGUCCUUACCAGUGGUGCGGUAUUGACACCCUUCCGGUCAAGGCAAAGAUUGGACCCCAACUCAGCUAUAAUAGCAUAUAUGGGGCAUGUCGGUUAGAUAACUACUUCCUACAGUUUCAGUUUUAGUCCCAAUAUCAGUAAGAGAACUCAGAUAGUUCUUCAUAUUUUAGGACUAUCAGAUACAGUCAACUCAAAUUCAAUUCGGAACUCAGCUAGUUCCAUCAGAUUUAGGACUGUCAGAUACAGUUACUUAUGUUAUCAGAUAUAUCAGUUCUCAGAACUCAUGUUAUCAAAUAUAUCAGCUAUGAAAACUCAUGUAAUCAUUCUUAAGCUUCAGGACUGGUAGAUAUAAUCAACCAGAUCAUUUCUUCAUAAUCUGAACUGUCAUAAAUAAUUAUUCAUGUAUCAGUAAUAUAGUUUUAGUCCUUCUAUAUUUAGCAAUAUAGUAUCAGUUCCUCACUUAUUAGUGACUCAGAUAUCAGGAUCAGUAAACUCAGGUAUUCAGUAUCCCAGUAGUGACGUACUCAGAUAUCAGUAAAUCUAUGUUAUUAGUAACCUCAGUAGCCAGAACUCAGUAUUCAGUCCUAUCAUGGUCUCAGUUACAGUUACAUAGCCAUGUAUGUAUUCUCACGUUCAUGUUAGUCAGUAAAUUAUUAUUGUUCAUGCAUAUGAACCCCAUGCAUUUAGCCUACCUCACUUGCAUACUAGUACAUUCAAAGCAUUGACACAUUCGUGCUAUAGUAUCUUAUACCAUAGGCUUAGAAGUACGAGCUCUAGAGCAUCAGCAGUAGAUUCCAGUCUCAGCAGUCAGAGUUAGAAGUGAGUCCUUAUCUUUCGAGGACAUGAUGAUUUUAUUAUUUAGUUUUCAAUUUAUUUUAGUAGAUGGAUUUAGUUAGGGACGUGUCACAUCAACUCCUUAUUCAUACAGUUUAGAGGCUUUCAGACUAUAUAGUAUGUUCAAAUAAUUAUUUCAGAUUUGUUUUGGUAUUGUUAUACCAUAUUUUCAGUUAUGUAUUAGUAUUGAACCUUAUAGUUCAUAUUUCUAUAUUUUUUAGUCUUUUAUGUAGUAUAUAGGUACAGAUAUCAGUCAUGGGUUAGCUUGUGGUCCUUCGGGGUCAUGAGCACCGCGUAGUGUUUCGGUUCAGAAAAUAGGGGCGUUACAAACUUGGUAUCAGAGCCUAAGGUUCAAUAGUGUCCUAGGAAGUCUAAAAAUCUAGUAGAGUCUUGUACAUGUGUGUUUUGUGAACUACACUUAUGUACAGGAGGCUAUGAGAUGUUUUAGAAACAGUUUCCCUUCUUACAUGUCUCAAAUCAUGCUAUAGAAAAGUUUUCUAAGAAAACUCAUAUAUAUUCUCAUCAUGCUCCACGCAUGUUAACUCCACCUUACUUUCAAGGUAACAAAAAUAGUAAAGCUCAAGUCCUAGAGAUAGGGAUUUCUCAGAUAGUCCCUGCAGUUAGUUGUGGGAUUUUUCUGAAACUCAAAAUAUGCCCUCAUAUCUCUUUUCGAAAUCCUAUGAUAGCAUAGACCUAGAAUUUUUUUUUAAGCAUGAAAUCAGGAGUUAACAAUGGUAGAGUUGGGAUACUAUUAUCCAGUUUGAUUAGAUUAUAUAUUCAUAGGGAUAGUUGUACUAGAGUAAAUCAGUAGUCUUAAACAGUGUAAGCUAGAAUUUAAGUUUAUUGAUUUAAAUUAAGUAUAAAGGUGUGGCUAUAAUAUUAGUAGUAUAUGAAGCAAUAGAAGCAGCUAAUUAGCUUAGUAAGGAAAACAUACAUUUGACAGAGUGUAAGUAUGUGAUUAACAUUGCAGUUCAGUUCAGAGUUUAGUACGUGCUCACAGAUUUAAGAUGAUGGCUUAAAGCUAAGGGGGAGACUAUAGAUCAAGCAACCAAUGUCAGGCUCUCAGAUUCCAGUUGUAGUGCCAGUAUGUAUAGAAAAAUACUAAGGGAAGACAAUUCCUGACUCAUACUUAUCUCAGUGCUAGGUUUUGUACUUCAAUCAGUCUGAUACCUAUGCAUGCUUCACAUCCUUCACAUCUUAGUUCUAUGAGCACAACUUAUAUUCGCACGUUUUUCAUAGAAUCAUAUACGAUUCCAAUUUCUAUUAGAAGUAGUAUCAGGUCCCUCAAUGUUACAAAUCAUGUCCCACAAAUUUAGAAACUCCAAACUCAGGUCAUGCAGCAUGACUCAUGUAUACAUGUCACACCUUACAGUAUAUUUAGUUUCCAUGACUCAUGCUAUGCCUGAUCUGAGGUUUAUCUUAGAGAAGUAACUGGCACCCUGAAGUUGGUCAAAUAAGUCAUCAAUUCUACGAAGUGGAUACUUGUUCUUGGCCGUGACUUUAUUGAGUUGACGGUAAUCUAUGCACAUUCUGAGAGAACUGUCUUUCUUUCGCACAAAUAAGAAUGGUGUGCCUUACAAGGACACACUGGGUUUGAUGAAUCCCUUAUCUAGGAGAUCCCUCAACUUUUCUUUUAAUUCUUUGAGUUCUACUGGUGCCAUUUUAUAUGGAAGAAUAGAUAUAGGCUGGGUAUCUGGAAGAAGAUCAAUGUCGAAGUCUAUAUCUCUUUUGGGAAGAAUUCCUGGAAGAUCUUUGGGAAAGACAUCUGAGUAUUCAUUCACUACUAGGACUGAUUUAAGACUGGGAAUUUUAGAACUAGAGUCCUUAACUCAAACAAGAUAAUAGACACAUCCUUUAGAUAUUAUUUUCCUUGCCCGUAGGUAGGAAACAAGCUGACCCUUAAAGGCUGAAGUACUACCCCUCCACUUUAAGAUGGGUUCAUUUGAAAAUUGAAACUAGAUAAUUCUAUUUCUACAGUCGACUGUGGCAUAGUAGGAAUAAAAAUAAUUCAUGUCGAGAAUGAUAUCAAAGUUAGUCAUCUCUAAUUCGACUAAGUCUCUGAUAUAACUUUCUCAGAUACCAUAACCGGAUAGUUCCUAGAUAGACAUUGGGCUAUGAUAGUUUUACACACUGGGGUAGAGACUAAAAAGGGUUAUACUAGAAUUUUGGGACUGACUCCAAAAUCAACUGCUAUAUAAGGAGAAACAAAAGACAAGGGAGCUCUUGGAUCUAGAAAAACAUAAAUAUGCAAGUGAAUGAUCUGUAACAUACCAGUGACCACAUCAGGAAUUUUCCUGAUCUUAUCGGGACUUUAGAGCAUAAAGUCUAUUUAGGCAUUGCCUACUGGUGGCGCUAGAAGUGGUACCCUACUGUUCCAAGUGAAUAGACAGAGUAGAGUAAUAAUUACGCUGACCCUAAAAACUUGACUGGGGAUAUUCUCUGAACUUGUGGCUUGGCUUGCAACAUCUGAAAUAGAUGUCGUUGCUAGCUCUGCAAAUACCCUGGUGGUUCUUACCACAAGUCUGACAAAGAGGAUGAGUGCGGGCAUUGCUAACAUUGCCCUGAGGUUUAUGUCCUGAUGCCUUAUCCCUAUUGCCAUCUCUAAAUUUUAGAACUGGAGCACUGGCUGAGGAAGGAGUUGGAAUGUAUGACUUUAGGUGGAAUUGAGAACGAUUCCUACCCUCCGACUUAGGCUGAACAAAGUUGAAACUACCUGUCUUUGCUUUCUUAUUCUGCUUCUCUCUCAUCUUAAUCUUCUGCUCUUCUAUCUAUUGAGCAUAGAUCAUAAACCAUGCUAUGUCCAUCUCACUAAUCAACAUCAUAGACUUGCACUCAUUGACCACACUAUCAUUCACUCUAAAAACAAACUUACUCAUCUUAGCCCUGCUGUUUGCCACUACAUGAGGAGAGUAUCUAACUAAUUGGGUAAACUUAAGAGAAUACUCUUUCAGUGUCAUGUUGCCCUACCUAAGGUUGAUAAAUUCUAGCACCUUAGCUGCUCUCAGCUCUAUGGGAAAGAAUCUAUCUAGAAAUACAAUGGAAAAC
rnacentral:lncRNA from 1 species